CUGAGACUUAGAGUCUCCUGAAGGAACGUUGAAGACGACGACGUUGAUAGGCCGGGUGUGUAAGCGCAGCGAUGCGUUGAGCUAACCGGUACUAAUGAACCGUGAGGCUUAACCUU
rnacentral:rRNA from 1 species